rnacentral:rRNA from 1 species
CCGCGGGAUUAGAGUUUGAUCCUGGCUCAGGAUGAACGCUAGCGGCAGGCUUAAUACAUGCAAGUCGUGGGGCAGCAUGGUGUAGCAAUACACUGAUGGCGACCGGCAAACGGGUGCGGAACACGUACGCAACCUUCCUUUAACUGGAGAAUAGCCCGGGGAAACCCGGAUUAAUACUCCGUAACAUUAUGAAGUGGCAUCACUUUAUAAUUAUAGCUCCGGCGGUUGAAGAUGGGCGUGCGUCUGAUUAGGUAGUUGGCGGGGUAACGGCCCACCAAGCCCACGAUCAGUAACUGGUGUGAGAGCACGACCAGUCACACGGGCACUGAGACACGGGCCCGACUCCUACGGGAGGCAGCAGUAAGGAAUAUUGGUCAAUGGACGCAAGUCUGAACCAGCCAUGCCGCGUGGAGGAUGAAGGUCCUCUGGAUUGUAAACUUCUUUUAUUUGGGAAGAAACCCACGAUUUCUAUUGUGGUUGACGGUACCAGAUGAAUAAGCACCGGCUAACUCCGUGCCAGCAGCCGCGGUAAUACGGAGGGUGCAAGCGUUAUCCGGAUUCACUGGGUUUAAAGGGUGCGUAGGCGGGCAGGUAAGUCCGUGGUGAAAUCUCCAAGCUUAACUUGGAAACUGCCGUGGAUACUAUUUGUCUUGAAUAUAGUGGAGGUGAGCGGAAUAUGUCAUGUAGCGGUGAAAUGCUUAGAUAUGACAUAGAACACCCAUUGCGAAGGCAGCUCGCUACACUAUUAUUGACGCUGAGGCACGAAAGCGUGGGGAUCAAACAGGAUUAGAUACCCUGGUAGUCCACGCCCUAAACGAUGAUUACUCGACAUCAGCGAUACACUGUUGGUGUCUGAGC